GUGUUGUACCCUCUUCAACAGCACGCUCAUUAAAACUGAAACAACACACAGAAGAAUAGCAUGCCCCUGGGCAAGAAUAACAUGAAAAUUUAUGAAGCAUUCUAUACAAAA